CACACAGGGGACAUUGUGACAUCACUGGGUCUUGUACCCAGGUGGUGUGAAUCUUCUCUCCUGCCUUGGUUCUUCCACGGGCAUUGUGUCAUAUCGCUGGGUCCCACACAUACGUUAUGUGACUCUCUUGCCUGUGCCCUGUGCAUGUGGGUCAUUGUGACAUAUUGCUGGGUCCAACACCCAGGUGAUGUAACUCUACUGCCUAGGCCCUGCCUGCAGAGGACAUUGUGUCAUAUACCUGCACCCAUCACACAAUGUUGCCCAAAAAGAGAUUGUGACAUAACUUUGGGCCCAGCACCGAGGUGAUGUCUCCCCUCUCCUGCCUGGGGCUUGCCCACCGAAGAGAGAGUGACUUAUUGAUGAGUUCAGCACACAGGUAAUAUGACUCUUAUUCCAGCUCACAGAAGUCACUGUAACAUAUAUCUUG
rnacentral:lncRNA from 1 species